GACUAGUUUUUCCUUGCACUUGGCUUAUCCAAUAAACCAAUUGGACUUAAUCCAAUCAAGCCCAAACUAAAUAUAAUUAAAUCAUAUUUAAUUAGACUUAAUCUCAGCCCAUUGGCUUAAUCAAAUUAAUCCAAUUAGCAAUCAAAUUACUAAUCGAUCCUCCUGCAACACUUGCACUGGGUUAAAUGUCAAUCUUAUUGAUUAUUUAACCCUAGAAUGAUUCUUAAUCAUUGAUCAACCAUCCGAUCGGAUCAUGAACUCUAAUGUGUGUGACCUCAUAGAUCCAAACCUAAGCUGGUAGCACAGAAAUAAAUUCCUAUACCAAUCAAAGUGACCAUCUAGCAAUGGUACCCGACGACCGGAUAGGUCGAAUGUGUAGAACAACAUCCUUAGAACCCAUGCGGAUAUAGUUUUCAUAUAAUUCAUCCCCUUGACCAAAAUGAUCAUAGGACACCCCAG
rnacentral:lncRNA from 1 species